AUCACCGUGUUUACCUUAGCAACUGACUGCUACUUCUUGCGCUAAUUAUGAGUCCUGCCAACGCGGUUUAACGAUUUUAUCAUUUAGACGCAUUACGUUUAUGUAUAGCGGAAAGAAGCGUGAACAUUCGGUAGUUUGUUGCGUUCCGGUGGCUGGUGAUGUACGCUUAAUUAGCCCGCUGCUAAUAAAAUGAAAGCUCGUAUAUAGGAGGAAGUCGGCGUGAUGUCACGAUGUGUGUCGCCAUUUUGUGAAGGGGGAACGCACAGCUAAACAUUACAUAGACAAACGUCUGAAAUUCAUAUAUUUCAGGUGUGUUUUGCGUCUUUUUUCCUCAAAACGUCUUGAACGUGGCUUACUAUUAUCACGAGUCACUGCCGACAGACGCGAGGAGGCGAUGCAAUUUAAAAUUAGCGUUUAUUGGCUUACAAAGCUGCCGAUACAAAGUCACAGCUGAUAGCUGGAUAAACAAAGGGAUGGCCUGCAGUGGAGUUCGGAAACAUCUACAACUACCUCAUAAAGUCACCCUGUAAGUUGACCUUUAUCAUUUACUUGGAAUAUGUACUGUGUGGAACUGAGAAAAUUGGUAGCAUAUACGAAGUGAUUAUUUCUGCUGUAACCGGUAAUUCGCCUCCGAGCGUUAUUUUGCAGUGAGCACGUCACGGCAAAAUAACCAAUUCCCACCAGGCCAAUAAUAUACCGAUUGACUGAUCAGAGCAGUUCACGGCAAAAGAAAAAUAACGCUUUGCGAGUUGCCGGUUCCGGAAAUAAUAACCACUGCCUAGUGUACUGAAUCCUAGCAGCUAAUUGGGGCAAAAAUCAAAGUUUACUCACCAGUAAUAAAAUGUCGGCUGCAAACGUAAAUGUGCUUGGAUUUAGGUUCCCACAGGCGAAAAUAGUCCACGUCUUCUUUUACUGUUCCUCGAUUAAUUGCUCUCAGCCAAAUGUUUCUCCUUUUCUUCUCACGUGGAAGAAUGAAGAACUUCAAAUGCGGCUCCGAACUCUUCCUUGUGUGGCAACUUUUAGUCAUUCCGACGGAAAAAAGACCGCAAAUAAAAUGAAAGUUAAACGCGUUUCUAUUACAAUGCACGACAGAGCAACUGCUUGUGACUUGUGUUUUGCCCUCAUUUCAAUAUGGCGACGCUUUGUUGUGGCUGGUGACGCCAUUAAUGCCCGGAUGUCCAACUGCGAGAAUGCACGAAUGCUAGACCGGGACGUCGCCAUCGUAAUGCGGAAGUGGGACAUUAUAGACACGCCCUCGUAUACAACACAUUCUAUUUCUGCUUGUUUUGUACGGUAAUCUUUCAAAAAAGAACAUGCAGAUCAAACACCGCUGCUACGGAACUUGUAGAAACAACUCUAGACAUUACGAUUUACGAUAUAUGAGGGAUGUUUUCUUCAUAUGUUUCCGAAACCAAAAACUGAGGGAAAAAAUGUGAAGAAUGGAUCAACUUGCGAGGUGAAGCCAUUCACAUUUCAUAUGCAGUAAACAUUUUGUUGGGGGCCAUGGUCCUACAGAGGACAAAGAAGUAAGCCAUUAUGAUAUUUUGACUUCUUUCUUAGCGUGGCAUUUUUGCCGUGCUGCUACUGUCUGACGAUGAAUGACCUGAAAAAAAAAUAAUAUGGUGCCUGACUGCCACGGUUACCUUUUCUGUUGUAAAAAAAAAAAAAGUGUAAAUAAAUUAUAGAAUUGUUAUUAAUGGAAAAAUGAAAGGUGUUCCUUGGCUGUCACUGAGUAGCAUUUGCGAUCGCUACACAAAAAUAGCAAUGUAAAUUGCCUAGAGCUGUCCCGACUAGUCGACGUAGUCGACGUCAUCGAUGACAUAAAUCCGUCCACGAGCACAACAUGCCGUCGACGGUAAAUGAAGGGUUAAAAAAAUAUAUGCGUGGAAAGUUAGAAUGUCGGAUGCUCUGUUUGCAAGCAGGGAAAGCGGCACAAAGCCAAAAAAAGCGCACCAGAGUGUCCAAAACAUUGACUUAUUUCAAAGAAACAAAGGAGAGUACACUCUUCUGUCCUGUCUCUUCAGUGCAAAGCUUAGCUGCACGUCGGCCGUGAAUAAACACCUCAAGCGCCUUCACGCAGUUUGUAAGGGUUUUUUUUUUUUUUUUUUCCAUUUUUUGUACACCAGAGGGUGCUGUCGCCUGACUAAAUAAUAAUGUUUCAUUGACAAUGGGCCUAUAAGUGCUAUUAGUAUUGUUCUUAAUGCUAAUUGAAAGGUUUAUUUCAUGUUAUGGUUUAUUUUAUGGUAUAGAAAAUUAUAUAAGGUUAAAAGGUCAUAAAUAUAUACAGUAUAUACAGUGAUUGCACUCAAGGGAGAGAUUGUCAAUGAUAAGGUAAUAAGGUAAAGGCAAUUCAUAUAGGCAAUUCAUUGAUAUAUAAAUAAGGUUUAAAAGGAAAAAUGUGAAAAGUUUUUGUUAAUUUCUAAUUGUGUUGCUUUAUUUGUGUGCGCCGUAGCUCUUACGGUGUGUUUACAUCAAGGAUGGAAUAAAAGUUGUAAACCAUCAGUUUAAGAGACCAUCUUUUCAAUCGGGAUGCUACACUAGUUAAUUCUAUCAGCAUUUGAACUCAUUGUUUAUUUGUGAUUUAUUAUUGUUAUUUACGUGUUUAUUUGUACUUUAAUAAAUGAUUUGAGUGUUCCAAUAUGUUUUUUUUUAAUUGAUAAGCGUCAACAAAAAUUUCAUUGCUAAAUUAGUUUAAAAAAUUAAAAAAUAAUUAUUAGAUUAGUCGACUAAUCGUAAAAAUAGUCGGCUGACUAAUCGGGAGAAAAUUAGUCGUUUGGGACAGCCCUAAAAUUGCCCCCAAGAAUGGUCCGAGACGUAAGAGGAUAUAAUAUAUAAGAAAGACAGGGCAUAUGGCGGUAAAGGAUAGAUUGCUGAAACAGGAGAAUGUCAUUGUAAGUGGUGUAAAGCAAUGCACACAAGAAAAAUGUGUCGAUAAAAAAAGCUAACUCUGGAUCUUUUUCAGCCCUCAAGACUCAAGCCAUCUCUUUAACUGAACAUUUGUAUGUUCUUUCACAUAUUUACCAGUGAAUUUGGCACCAGGGACAUCAUUUUUAGACAGAAUUGGUAGGUUUGGCUCAGUGAACAUCUCCUUCGUACACUAUUGUCACGCAUUUAAAAUUAGGUGCAAACGGGAGGUUGACCCGCCUAGCCACAAUGGCUAAUGUCAUGAAUAUUAAUGAGCAAAAGUGACAUGUUGCUUGUGGUACACCAUUGAUAUUACAGGGAAGACUUUGGACUUGCAGCUAUCAAGUCGGGGCCAGUUGGCAGUGAAACAGUUCAAGGAGCAUAUAGCAUCACCGGUGGAGAUCCCAGUAGACAAGCAGAGUCAUCUACCAGGGUAGAGUGCUACAAGAUGACAGAACGCUGACUGUGCAAUGUAGACGUUCAUCUGGGGGAGCGCGCCCCACCUCAAAGCGUCAGGUUAGGCUCAGGUGGUGCCGGCGUAUCCGGUCAAGGGGCAGACGACGGCCGAAGCUGCGCUACAGUCUCUUCGGUGCCAUCAACCUUCCAAUCCACAUCAUGGAACAGCUACAGGUGCUGUUGACAUAACUCAUCUGCUGAGCCAACAUUGGUCCAUAUAAUUUUACUGCAUGCUGUCAUAUUAGUUAUGUUACUAGGCAAGGGAAGGCCAAUUUAUUUGCUGGUCAUCUCCAAUAAAAACGCGCGGUGCAGUUUUAUUCCUUUAUCCGUUGCUCUCAAUAACCAUCAGCACUUGCCCGGUGUUUGAAAAGUUUUGCUCCCCAUCAAAAAUGGCUACUUUGCGCUUCUGUGCAUGCGCUUAACUCAUUCACUCCCAGCCAUUUUCACUUUUCCAUUUUUCGCUCCCGGCCGUUUUACUGGAUUUUGACUGAUUUUGCAAGGCCCACAGAAAAAAAACUCUGUUCUAUUGCUAUAUAAAGAUGGAACCCACCAAAAGAAAGAUUAGACUCUCUUCUUUCAGCAGAAAAAAAGUUAGUUCAUAUCUUUUUCCGAUCUUUAGAAAUCAGCAUUAGAAAAUAGCUUAGUUUGAGCAAUUUUCCAAUUUCUGAUGAAAAAACAGAAAUUGAGCUUUUUGUGAAAGCAUACAUUUCAAACAUAACUUUGACUUCAACACAGGUAUUUUUCGCUUUUGUGACAUCCCAAACAUCUGAGUAAUGUUUACUGGUGCACGAUAAUUAUUGGUCCCAUAAUAGGAAUUAUGACGUCAUCCCGAUAAAUCCAAUAACAUUUAUAAUAGGACCGAUAAUAUGUACUGUUCUGGCUUUGCAGUUUACACAGUAGUAUGGGAAAUCAGUUAAACCAUUUGCGGGGCAUUGCUCCCACCUGCUGGCCAGAAUAAUUCAAUGCACCAAUUAUUUGUUACAGUAGUUUGGUUCGAUCGCUUACCCAUUGCGGUGUCUAGCGGUAGCAUUGACAGUCGUGAAUGCUUUCUGUUACGUUUCCGCCUCGGAAAUAUAUGUAAGUAUUUUAUGUUUACUAUUACAUACGGAUGUGCAAAAUAUGUUUACCUCUGUGGUGAAGGGUCAUAUGUACAGAACUUCAUAAGUUGUGUUAUAGAAGCCAGCCAAUGCUUUAGUAGCUCAAGCUAGUGUGCUAUGCUAUACAUAAAAUAGUUGUGUAUAUAAGUGUAUUGUGCAGUUUGUUGUAUUUUGAGUAUUGAAUAUGUGUAUUUUUCUGUUGUACUUUCACAAUAUUAAGACGAGUGUCUUCCCAUAAAAGCAAGAAAAGACCAAGCCUUGUGGUUUAUGGAAGUGCACUUAUUCUUAGCUAGCUAUCGGGCAGUGCAGAAGUGAAACGCACUGUUUUGUUCAUGUCAUUAUGAAAAAUCUGAUGAGAUCAAAGGCAAAUCUAUGUUGAAUCCACUACUAUUUUUUUUUCAAACCUGCAGGUGUUCAAAAACUCAGGUUAUACAUUUUUAAAGUUAUAUAUUUAUUAUCGGUUAUCGAUAUCAUUAUCGGCUUUGAGGAGCAGGAAGUUAUCGAUAUCGGUAUCGGUUUUUUUAAAAAAUGGAUAUCGUGCACCCCUAAUAAUGUUUUCGUUCUACAAAAUAAGAUAAACAACAAGACAAAUAGAGCUUUUGAUCACAAAGUAACAAUUUAUUUACACAUAACUAAACUAUUGAACUGUUGAACUAUUUGCGCACAUAACAACGGGGAGGGCUCUUGGCUGCUCCCGGUCGAAUGAGGUGGCUCACAGUAAUCUGAUGAGUCCGGAUCAAGAUCAGUCUCACUUUUUUCAUCAUCUUCAUCGUUGGUUUCGACCUCGGGCUCAGGAGUAACGCAACGUGAGCUCCGCAGAACGCGUGUAGAACCUGACGCUGUUGUGUCCGUCACAGUCUGUCUCAUCAAGAUAGAUUUUUUUGAAUCCUUCUUUGACAAUUGCUUCAUUUUCUUUUCAAAACACUCCUCUAGUGUCGUUUGCCUUUUUUUCCCGAUCGUUCUCCACAUUUUUCUCAAAUU